AUGAUUUGAAGGUACUAUUGGUAGUAACUUAUUUCCUUAUAUGCAGACAAAUUUUCCCCUAUAUUUCGAUGGGACUGGGGUGUUACAAACUCCCCUACUUAAAUUUCUGACGUCCCCGUCAGAACCAGGCUGGUUUCGUGUCCCCACCUCCGGACCUUCAUCUCUCCAUUGUGGGAUGGCUCUGAUACCAUAUGAAACAACCCGGGUCAAAUCCCGAGUCCGGAACAAAUCCCAAGUCCGAAUUGAAUCCAUCAAAAUAAGGCCUCAAACUACUGACCCAAUAGUAUCUUCUUGGGUCAUCUUAGCCCACCACAGGCUCCCAAAAGGUCA
rnacentral:lncRNA from 1 species